rnacentral:rRNA from 1 species
GGGUGUGAUCAUACCAGCACUAAUGCACCGGAUCCUAUUAGAACUCUGCAGUUAAGCGUGCUUGGGUGAGAGUAGUUCUAGGAUGGGUGACCUCAUUGGAAGUUCUCUUGUUGCACCCC